UAAGGGCUGAUUGGUUGUUGCCCGUGAUGCGUCACGUCCGACUUUCCCCUUUGUGCCCGUGUUUACGGUGGUUACAGGUAAGCGCGCUGUGCUGUAACAGGCGGUUAUUUUAAAACUGGUUGGUCUUUUAAAGCGUUUUUCCCGGAAAUUAUAGUGUCGUUUUGGCCUGGUGUCAGUGUGUUGUCGGAGCUGCUUAGUGGAUCUAAUGACUGUUUGCCUCAGGAGCUGGGGUCCCACGGGUGAACGGAUCUUCCUCCUUGUGGUGGUGGUUCUUCUUUAUUGCGUGCUGUGUACCACUUUGAGUGUGUGGUAGUGUGAUCUGAGUGCACCUUGGUGUGUGUGUGUGUGUGUGCAUGAAAGUGUGCCCUUGUAAAACCAGACUCCAUUUUGUUUCCUGCCGUUGGGAGCCUCAGCCCUGCUAGUAUUUAUUUUGUUUUCAUAUUUAAAGUUGAUUUUGUGUCAUUACCUACAUUCAUUCUUUUUGUAAUUUCAUUUUCUUCCAUCUAAAGUGGGAUCUCCUGUUGUUCCUCUGACAUUUUAGUGUCUAUUUUAAAACAUUCUUGUAUUAAUAAACAUUUGUAUUUGUAUAUUA